AAUUAUGGACACAGCUGGUCAGGAAGAAAAUGAGUUGAUGAUGGAGGAAAAAAUUCGAUGGGCAGAUGCUUUUAUUCUCGUGUAUGCUAUUAAUGAUCAGACAAGUUUCGAAGAACUUCCGAGGUUCAAAGUUACGAUCACGCACACGAUCGCGCAAAUGAGUCACCAACACAAGCUGAGUCAGCAAACGUCAAAAGUUUUGUAGAUUUAGACCAUUCAACCAGCAUAUAAGUAUAACCUCAUGUUUGAC